rnacentral:tRNA from 1 species
AGUAAAAUGGCUGAUAAAAGCGGUAAAUUGUAAAUUUACUUAUAAAAGAAAUUUUUUUUACUA